GAAAUGCGAUACCUGGUGUGAAUUGCAGAAUCCCGCGAACCAUCGAGUCUUUGAACGCAAGUUGCGCCCGAGGCCUCUUGGCCGAGGGCACGCCUGCCUGGGCGUCACGCCAAAUACGCUCCCACACCCCUCAUCGGGAAGGUGGGAUGCGGCAUGUGGCCCCCCGUCAUGCAAGAGGCGGUGGGCCGAAGAUGCGGCUGCCGGCGUAUCGUGUCGGACACAGCGCGUGGUGGGCGACCUCGCUUUACUUACCGCAGUGCAUCCGGCAUGUAGCCGACGUGUUGGCCUCAAUCGACCCUAUAAACGGAGCGCAUGACGCUUCGACCGCGACCCCAGGUCAGGCGGGACUACCCGCUGAGUUUAA
rnacentral:misc_RNA from 1 species